rnacentral:tRNA from 1 species
GCUUUCGUGGUGUAGUGGUCAGCACACCGGCGAAUAUUCGAGAGGUCCGUGGUUCGAGUCCCGGUGAGGGCA